rnacentral:rRNA from 1 species
GACGAACGCUGGCGGCGUGCUUAACACAUGCAAGUCGAACGGAAAGGCCCUGCUUUUGUGGGGUGCUCGAGUGGCGAACGGGUGAGUAACACGUGAGUAACCUGCCCUUGACUUUGGGAUAACUUCAGGAAACUGGGGCUAAUACCGGAUAGGAGCUACUGCUGCAUGGGGGGGGUUGGAAAGUUUCGGCGGUUGGGGAUGGACUAGCGGCUUAUCAGCUUGUUGGUGGGGUAGUGGCUUACCAAGGCUUUGACGGGUAGCCGGCCUGAGAGGGUGACCGGCCACCUUGGGACUGAGAUACGGCCCAGACUCCUACGGGACGCAGCAGUGGGGAAUAUUGCGCAAUGGGCGGAAGCCUGAUGCAGCAACGCCGCGUGCGGGAUGACGGCCUUCGGGUUGUAAACCGCUUUCGCCUGUGACGAAGCGUGAGUGACGGUAACGGGUAAAGAAGCACCGGCUAACUACGUG